UACGUAGGGGGCGAGCGUUGUCCGGAUUUAUUGGGCGUAAAGGGCGUGUAGGCGGCUUCUUAAGUCAGAGGUGAAAACCCAGAGCUCAACUCUGGGACUGCCUCUGAAACUGGGGAGCUUGAGUGCUCUAGAGGGCAGUGGAAUUCCCGGUGUAGCAGUGAAAUGCGUAGAGAUCGGGAGGAACACCAGUGGCGAAGGCGACUGCCUGGGGAGUAACUGACGCUGAGGCGCGAAAGCUGGGGGAGCAAACGGGAUUAGAAACCCUCGUAGUCC
rnacentral:rRNA from 1 species